GCCGAAAUAGCUCAGUUGGGAGAGCGUUAGACUGAAGAUCUCAAAGGUCCCUGGCUCAAUCCCGGGUUUCGGCA
rfam:Chlorocebus sabaeus isolate 1994-021 chromosome 17, whole genome shotgun sequence.